UGGCUCAGUUGUAGAGCGCUUGCCUUGCAUGCAUGAGGCCCUGGGUUCGAUUCCUCAG
rfam:Dipodomys ordii contig_13514, whole genome shotgun sequence.